rnacentral:rRNA from 1 species
CAGCCGCCACGGGAAUACGUAGGUGGCAAACGUUGUCCGGAAUUAUUGGGCGUAAAGGGCUCGCAGGCGGUUUCUUAAGUCUGAUGUGAAAGCCCCCGGCUCAACCGGGGAGGGUCAUUGGAAACUGGGAAACUUGAGUGCAGAAGAGGAGAGUGGAAUUCCACGUGUAGCGGUGAAAUGCGUAGAGAUGUGGAGGAACACCAGUGGCGAAGGCGACUCUCUGGUCUGUAACUGACGCUGAGGAGCGAAAGCGUGGGGAGCGAACAGGAUUAGAUACCCCGGUAGUCCCUGUCUCUUAUAC